rnacentral:lncRNA from 1 species
CUCUCUCUGUGUGUCUGACUAACCAGAGAAACAUCCAGCCCGGUCUGACUGAACUAUAGCCGGAUAGAAAGGCUCUUCUCUGGGAAGCAGCGACUGCAACAGCCUCUGGUGGACGCGGACCUGUGGGGGUUGAUGACUGACUGAAGAGGUCUAGAUCCCCAGUUGUGAGGAUGUUGUCCACAGGGCAGAUCAGGUGGUUUUUAUGGGCUCAACUGGUGUUACUGGUUUCCUAUGACUCCUGUCAGGCACAAAGUCAAGCACCUCGGAGGAGAAUACAAUAUACAUUCAGUCCUACACGUGAAUCUCCAGCUGCAGCAGAUCUGUGCUCUUUUCCUCAUGUCUGAGUGUGGGAACGCUGUGAUACUGACCCUACUGAACAGAGUGGAAGC